rnacentral:rRNA from 1 species
GAUGAACGCUGGCUACAGGCUUAACACAUGCAAGUCGAGGGGAAACGACGGGGAAGCUUGCUUCCCCGGGCGUCGACCGGCGCACGGGUGAGUAACGCGUAUCCAACCUGCCUCUGACUGAGGGAUAACCCGUCGAAAGUCGGCCUAAUACCUCAUGGUAUCGUCUGCGGGCAUCCAACGACGAUUAAAGAUUUCAUCGGUCAGGGAUGGGGAUGCGUCUGAUUAGCUUGAUGGCGGGGUAACGGCCCACCAAGGCUACGAUCAGUAGGGGUUCUGAGAGGAAGGUCCCCCACAUUGGAACUGAGACACGGUCCAAACUCCUACGGGAGGCAGCAGUGAGGAAUAUUGGUCAAUGGGCGAGAGCCUGAACCAGCCAAGUAGCGUGCAGGAAGACGGCCCUAUGGGUUGUAAACUGCUUUUAUGCGGGGAUAAAGUGAGGGACGUGUCCCUCAUUGCAGGUACCGCAUGAAUAAGGACCGGCUAAUUCCGUG